GUGCUCGUUUUGGCAGCACAUAUACUAAAAUUGGAAUGAUGGAGAAGAUUAGUCUGGCCCCUGAUCAAGGAUGGCAUGCAAAUUCGUGAAUUGUUCUAUGUGAAA
ensembl:snRNA U6 U6 spliceosomal RNA